UAUUUACGGCUUCAGAAACCAUCCCUUCCUUGCUUAAUUUAUGGAAUCUGUAAUAUACAGAUUGACGCCCCUUGCAAGGAAGGAAUGGUUUCUGAAGCUUUAGGUAAC
rnacentral:pre_miRNA from 1 species